rnacentral:snRNA from 1 species
GGGCUCAACUUUGGCAGCACAUAUACUAAAGUUGAAACCAUACAGAGAAUAUUAGCAGGUCCCUAUGCAAGGAUGAUACACAAAUUGGAGAGAAUUUUUUU